CAGGAUUAGAUACCCUGGUAGUCUACGCAGUAAACGAUGGAUACUCGUUGUCGGGGAAAUUGAGACUCGGUGGCUAAGCGAAAGUGAUAAGUAUCCCACCUGGGGAGUACGAUCGCAAGAUUGAAACUCAAAGGAAUUGACGGGGGCCCGCACAAGCGGUGGAGCAUGUGGUUUAAUUCGAUGAUACGCGAGGAACCUUACCUGGGCUUAAAUGUAUAUUGACAGGACUAGAAAUAGUUUUUCCUUCGGGCAAUUUACAAGGUGCUGCAUGGUUGUCGUCAGCUCGUGCCGUGAGGUGUCAGGUUAAGUCCUAUAACGAGCGCAACCCCUAUCGAUAGUUGCUAGCAGGUAAAGCUGAGGACUCUAUUGAGACUGCCGGUGCAAACCGCGAGGAAGGUGGGGAUGACGUCAAAUCAUCACGGCCCUUACGUCCAGGGCCACACACGUGCUACAAUGGUGCAUACAGAGAGCAGCCAACCUGUGAGGGUGAGCGAAUCUUAAAAGUGCAUCACAGUUCGGAUCGUAGUCUGCAACUCGACUACGUGAAGCUGGAAUCGCUAGUAAUCGCAGAUCAGCCAUGCUGCGGUGAAUACGUUCCCGGGCCUUGUACACACCGCCCGUCAAGCCAUGGAAGCUGGGGGUACCUGAAGUUCGUAACCGCAAGGAGCGACCUAGGGUAAAACUGGUAACUGGGGCUAAGUCGUAACAAGGUA
rnacentral:rRNA from 1 species